UACGGGGGGGGCAAGCGUUGUUCGGAAUUACUGGGCGUAAAGGGCUCGUAGGUGGCCAACUAAGUCAGACGUGAAAUCCCUCGGCUUAACCGGGGAACUGCGUCUGAUACUGGAUGGCUUGAGUUUGGGAGAGGGAUGCGGAAUUCCAGGUGUAGCGGUGAAAUGCGUAGAUAUCAGGAGGAACACCAAUGGCGAAGGCAGCUCGCUGGGACGUGACUGACGCUGAGACGCGAAAGCGUGGGGGAGCAAACAGG
rnacentral:rRNA from 1 species